GCCUUUCUCCUCCCGAUUCUAAGGUCUCCCCAGCCAUGUGAAACUGUAAGUUCAAUUAAACCUCUUUUUCUUCCCAAUCUUGGAUAUGUCUUUAUCAGCAGCAUGAAAAUGGACUAAUACAGUAAACUGGUACCAACAGAGUGGGGUAUUGCUGAAAAGACGCCCGAAAAUGUGGAAGCAAAUUUGGAACUGGGUAACAGGCAGAGAUUAGAACAGUUUGAAGGGUUCAGAAGAAGAUAGAAAAAUGUGGGAAAGUUUGGAACUUCCUAGAGACUUGUUGAAUGACCUUGCCCAAAAUGCUGACAGCAAUAUGGACAAUAAAAUCCAGGCUGUGUGGUCUCAGAUGGAGAUGAGGAACUUGCUGGGAACUGGAGCAAAGGUAACUCUUGUUAUGUUUUAGCAAAGAGACUGGUGGCAUUUUGCCCCUGCCCUAGAGAUUUGUGGAAAUUUAAACUUGAGAGAGAUAAUUUAGGGUAUUUAGUGGAAGAAAUUUCUAAACAGCAAAGCAUUCAAGAGGUGACUUGGAUGCUAUUAAAGGCAUUCAGUUUUAUAAGGAAAGCAGAGCAUAAAAGUUUGGAAAAUUUGCAACCUGACUGUGCAAUAGAAAAGAAAAACCCAGCUGGGUGCGGUGACUCACACCUG
rnacentral:lncRNA from 1 species